AUUGAACGCUGGCGGCAGGCCUAACACAUGCAAGUCGAGCGGGGUUUUCGGACCUAGCGGCGGACGGGUGAGUAAUGCGUAGGAAGCUACCCGAUAGAGGGGGAUACCAGUUGGAAACGACUGUUAAUACCGCAUAAUGUCUACGGACCAAAGUGUGGGACCUUCGGGCCACAUGCUAUCGGAUGCGCCUACGUGGGAUUAGCUAGUUGGUGGGGUAAUGGCUCACCAAGGCGACGAUCCCUAGCUGGUUUGGAAGGAUGAUCAGCCACACUGGAACUGAGACACGGUCCAGACUCCUACGGGAGGCAGCAGUGGGGAAUAUUGGACAAUGGGCGCAAGCCUGAUCCAGCCAUGCCGCGUGUGUGAAGAAGGCCUUCGGGUUGUAAAGCACUUUCAGUAGGGAGGAAGGGUGUUGUGUUAAUAGCACAGCAUUUUGACGUUACCUACAGAAGAAGCACCGGCUAACUCUGUGCCAGCAGCCGCGGUAAAAC
rnacentral:rRNA from 1 species